rnacentral:rRNA from 1 species
UACGAAGGGGGCUAGCGUUGUUCGGAAUCACUGGGCGUAAAGCGCUCGUAGGCGGAUCUUUAAGUCAGAGGUGAAAUCCCAAGGCUCAACCUUGGAACUGCCUUUGAUACUGGGGAUCUCGAGUCCGGGAGAGGUGAGUGGAACUGCGAGUGUAGAGGUGAAAUUCGUAGAUAUUCGGCGGAACACCAGUGGCGAAGGCGACUCACUGGCCCGAUACUGACGCUGAGGCGCGAAAGCGUGGGGAGCAAACAGG